UUCGAUUCGAGCGAAAGCGAGAAAGCUUUGCCGCAGGCAACGACCCGAAGGGCGAAACGCGCAGCGCUGAGUCAUCCUUCCCCCACCACCA
rnacentral:sRNA from 3 species